rnacentral:rRNA from 1 species
AACCCUUGUCUUUAGUUGCCAUCAUUCAGUUGGGCACUCUAAAGAGACUGCCGGUGUCAAACCGGAGGAAGGUGGGGAUGACGUCAAGUCCUCAUGGCCCUUAUGGUAGGGCUUCACACGUCAUACAAUGGUCGGUACAGAGGGUUGCCAACCCGCGAGGGGGAGCUAAUCCCACAAAGCCGAUCGUAGUCCGGAUCGCAGUCUGCAACUCGACUGCGUGAAGUCGGAAUCGCUAGUAAUCGUGGAUCAGCAUGUCACGGUGAAUACGUUCCCGGGUCUU